AGCUGAACCUGAAGCUUGAUGAAGAAGGCCGUCAAUAUUUCAACAAAAACUAACAGAAUAUGGAUCAGAUUCGGACAACGACUUCUUAAGACAUUCACACAACAGGCUAAACAAUUCAAAGAGGGAUCUCUGGAUGAUCGAGCAACAAGUCCAGCAUUAUGUGGGAAAGAUACUACAGGUGUACACAGAAAAGGCCAUGAUCAUGUACAAGACACGGUUGGAGUUCAUAAAAGAUUAAGCUGCCUCGUGCUAUGCAGACGUGGAUAAAAACAAGCUGUCCAAUGAAUGGUGACUACUCAAGAGGAGCCAGAAAGUCAACUAAGGCCAGGGUAUUUUGGGAGUUGAUAUGGCCGGGGAAGGGGGGGAGGGGAGGGGGUUUCCAGGGCCCCCCCCCCCCCUCCCUUGAGAUCUCGACCGCACAAUCGCGUCUUACAUAGGCACAUGGGUUGUCUAGGGCAUAAUUUACCAAAUUAAAUUGUAAAUUAUUUCACGCAAAUUGUUAUUAAGUGAUAAUACUAAUUUAUGCGUAAUUAGAAUACAAAAUCAUACUUUUUCCUCUAUUGCAUUGACUUUGUACCCAAAAUCACGUUUUUGAGCAAUUUUUGGUAUGACAUGUACUUACAUAAUGUCACGUUAUUACAGAACCACGUACCGGGUGACACAAGAUUGGUCUCAAAAGAUGCACAAGACUAGAAAGAGGCAUGUUUUAAAAAAAUUGUGCGACAGCAUGGUCGCAAAAUUUUUGGAAGGGGGGGUGGGUCAAAUUAGUCCAAUUUAACUGAGGGUUAAUAACUGGGAGGCUGUUAGCUGCCUUUUUACUUUCAAGUCUUGCACAUCUUUUGAGACCAAAUUUGUGAUGCCUGGGUACGCUGUUCCGAAAUUUUGAAACAUUUUUAUGUAUUAAUCCAACACAAAUACUGUUUCUUGCUAAAAAUUCACAAUUAGUAUACCAGUAAUAUACAUUUAUCAAGAUUAAAGUCAAAUUAUUUAAUUACAUUUAUAAUCAUAAAAACUUUGAUAAAGUAUAAAAAAAAAACCAAAGAGUUGUAUGUAGGCCUGGGACUUUCGGGUUUUUUCUCUUCGGGUACCCGUGGUAAUUUUCGGGCGGGUACCCGAAAAUCAUGUCACUUGAAAUAUGACUGGUGGAAAAACCCCAUAGGUGACGUCAUCAAGCCAAUGCGAUGCAAGCCAAUUUAUGAAUGAAAAUAUAGUAAGCAUGCGCAUUGCAAGCCUCCCGUGCCCCACGCAGUAUUCAAUCGAAACAAUUAAGUUUCAAUACUCUGUCACCUCGUACCAAAAUCGACCUAGAAUUCCACUUUCCUAUAUUUCAUAUGAAUUAUAAAAGGUUUUCUCACCGAUACUGCACAGGUAAGCAAAUUUUUAUUACUUCUUGCUUUUCCGUCAAAAUCUUACGAAGUAGCGUCGAUAUUACAUCGUGUUCGUGAGUUUGUAUCGCUACGUGAACAAAGUCAAUUGAUUUCAGGGUUUCGGAGCGUCAAAUGCGCCAGCCAAUCACGAUCGUGUUCCCAUUUUCGGUUUAUGAUGAACUAAAAAUGGUAACAAGAACGUGAUUGGCUGGCGCUUCGUAGGUCGAUUUUGGUAUGAGGUGACAGAGUAUUGCAGACUUGUUUUGACGGAAUACUGAGUGGGUCUGAGGCUUGCAAUGCGCAUGCUUACUAUAUUUUCAUUCAUAAAUUGGUUUGCGUCGCAGUGGCUGGAUGACGUCACUGCGCUGCAAAAGAAACAUGGCGAUGAUUGAACGAUCUCGGUCACAUCAUCAUCACUUAAAAACUUGUAUAUUUAUGGAUAUUUAGAGGGUAAUUGGUGAAAUUCAAAAUGAGGCUUGUGUACUUUUGUGAUGAGUUACAAUCAUGUCUUACACUACGCAAUACAAAUCAAAUACAUGUACAUUAUACUGGUGAGCAAUUUUCGGGUAUCGGGUAUUGAUUUUUCUACCCGGGUACCCAAGGCUUCCGGGCGGGACCCGGGUACUCGGGUUUUAGUCCCAGCCCUAGUUGUAUGAAAAUUUUCAAAAAUAAUGAAAGGUAAAAGAAAACAAGAUUACAAUGUCCAUUGCAAGGGGGCUAGUCUAUUCAGGAUAAUUGGGAUUUUAUUUAGUUUUUAAUUGACAUAACAUUAUGACAAGAUCCCUUCAUUUAGUGUAUAAACAGCACAUGGCCAUGAUUGAAAUUCAUAUAACAUUAAAGUAUGCAAACCAGGCAGCUACAUGUACAUGUAGGACUCACUGCUUGUCAAUUCUAUUGUCUGCCAGGGUCACGUGACAUACAGUGCACAUGUAUAACGUGUGUGAAAGUACAUAAGAAAAUCAGCUUUUUAUUUUUGUACUGUAACAUUGGGUGAACUGGUGAUCACUUUGGAUAUGAUGCUCUUCAUAUUGGUUUAUUUUAUGUAUAUGAAUUUUUGGAUAAUCAUUAAGAAUUAAAGCUAUUUACUUAAUAUGUGGAAG